UGGGGAAUAUUGGACAAUGGGCGGAAGCCUGGUCCAGCAACGCCGCGUGAGGGAUGACGGCCUUCGGGUUGUGAAACCUCUUUCAACCAUUGAUCGAAGCCGCAUCUUUUUGGGUGUUGGUGACGGUAGGUGGGGAAGAAGCACCGGCCAACUACGUGCCAGCAGCCGCGGUAAUACGUAGGGUGCGAGCGUUGUCCGGAAUUAUUGGGCGUAAAGGGCUCGUAGGCGGUUUGUCGCGUCGGGAGUGAAAACAUCCGGCUUAACUGGGUGCUUGCUUUCGAUACGGGCAGACUAGAGGUAUGCAGGGGAGAACGGAAUUCCUGGUGUAGCGGUGAAAUGCGCAGAUAUCAGGAGGAACACCGGUGGCGAAGGCGGUUCUCUGGGCAUGAUCUGACGCUGAGGAGCGAAAGUGUGGGAGCGAACA
rnacentral:rRNA from 1 species